CCUACGGGAGGCAGCAGUGAGGGAUAUUGGACAAUGGGGGGAACCCUGAUCCAGCGACGCCGCGUGAGUGAAGAAGUAUUUCGGUAUGUAAAGCUCUGUCAGCAGGGAAGAAAGAAAUGACGGUACCUGACCAAGAAGCCCCGGCUAACUACGUGCCAGCAGCCGCGGUAAU
rnacentral:rRNA from 1 species